CGGCGGACGGGUGAGUAAUGCCUAGGAAUCUGCCUGGUAGUGGGGGACAACGUUUCGAAAGGAACGCUAAUACCGCAUACGUCCUACGGGAGAAAGCAGGGGACCUUCGGGCCUUGCGCUAUCAGAUGAGCCUAGGUCGGAUUAGCUAGUUGGUGAGGUAAUGGCUCACCAAGGCGACGAUCCGUAACUGGUCUGAGAGGAUGAUCAGCCACACUGGAACUGAGACACGGUCCAGACUCCUACGGGAGGCAGCAGUC
rnacentral:rRNA from 1 species